GCGAACGGGUGAGUAACACGUGSKUAAUCUGCCCUGCACUUCGGGAUAAGCCUGGGAAACUGGGUCUAAUACCGGAUAUGAACUCCUGCCGCAUGGUGGGGGUUGGAAAGUUUUUCGGUGCAGGAUGAGCCCGCGGCCUAUCAGCUUGUUGGUGGGGUAAUGGCCUACCAAGGCGACGACGGGUAGCCGGCCUGAGAGGGUGAUCGGCCACACUGGGACUGAGACACGGCCCARACUCCUACGGGAGGCAGCAGUGGGGAAUAUUGCACAAUGGGCGAAAGCCUGAUGCMGCGACGCCGCGUGGGGGAUGACGGUCUUCGGAUUGUAAACCCCUUUCAGUAGGGACGAAGCGCAAGUGACGGUACCUGCAGAAGAAGCACCGGCUAACUACGUGCCAGCAGCCGCGGUAAUACGUAGGGUGCGAGCGUUGUCCGGAAUUACUGGGCGUAAAGAGCUCGUAGGCGGUUUGUCACGUCGUCUGUGAAAUCCCUCGGCUUAACCGGGGGCGUGCAGGCGAUACGGGCAGACUUGAGUACUACAGGGGAGACUGGAAUUCCUGGWGUAGCGGUGAAAUGCGCAGAUAUCAGGAGGAACACCGGUGGCGAAGGCGGGUCUCUGGGUAGUAACUGACGCUGAGGAGCGAAAGCAUGGGUAGCGAACAGGAUUAGAUACCCUGGUAGUCCAUGCCGUAAACGGUGGGCGCUAGGUGUGGGGUCCUU
rnacentral:rRNA from 1 species